rnacentral:tRNA from 1 species
CCUGGUGGCUUAAAUGGUAAAGCGUCUGCCUGAAAUGCAGGAGACCUGGGUUCAAUCCCUGGGUCAGGA